AACGAACGCUGGCGGCAGGCCUAACACAUGCAAGUCGAACGCUCGUAGCAAUACGAGAGUGGCAGACGGGUGAGUAACACGUGGGAACCUUCCCUUUGGUUCGGAAUAGCUCAGGGAAACUUGAGGUAAUACCGGAUAAGCCCUUACGGGGAAAGAUUUAUCGCCAUAGGAUGGGCCCGCGUCGGAUUAGCUAGUUGGUGAGGUAACGGCUCACCAAGGCGACGAUCCGUAGCUGGUCUGAGAGGAUGAUCAGCCACACUGGGACUGAGACACGGCCCAGACUCCUACGGGAGGCAGCAGUGGGGAAUAUUGGACAAUGGGCGCAAGCCUGAUCCAGCCAUGCCGCGUGAGUGACGAAGGCCUUAGGGUUGUAAAGCUCUUUUGGCGGGGAAGAUAAUGACGGUACCGCAGAAUAAGCUCCGGCUAACUUCGUGCCAGCCGCCGCAGUAAG
rnacentral:rRNA from 1 species